UGCCACAGCCAUAUCACCCUGCAGCCCAAGACUGGUCACCCACUGAAGCUAAGCAGGGUUGAGCUUGGUCAGUACCUGGAUGGGAGACCUCCUGGGAAAACUAGGUUGCUGUUGGAA
rnacentral:rRNA from 1 species